rnacentral:rRNA from 1 species
CCUAAGGUAGCGAAAUUCCUUGUCGGGUAAGUUCCGACCUGCACGAAUGGCGUAACGAUCUCCACACUGUCUCGGCCAGAGACUCGGUGAAAUUGAAGUCGCGGUGAAAAUGCCGUGUACCCGCAGAAAGACGGAAAGACCCUGUGCACCUUUACUAUAGCUUGACAUUGGGAUUUGAGCCUGCAUGUGUAGCAUAGGUGGGAGGCUGUGAACUCUGUACGCCAGUAUGGAGGGAGCCAACGUUGAAAUACCACCCUUGUUUGUUCAGGUCCCUAACUCUUCGCCGUUACCCGGUAAGAGGACAGUGUCUGGUGGGUAGUUUGACUGGGGCGGUCGCCUCCCAAAAUGUAACGGAGGCAUGCAAAGGUUCCCUCAGGCUGAUUGGAAACCAGCCGUCGAGUGCAAACGCAAAAGGGAGCUUGACUGCAAGAGAGACAUCUCGAGCAGGUACGAAAGUAGGUGUUAGUGAUCCGGUGAUCCCGAAUGGAAGGGUCAUCGCUCAUUGGAUAAAAGGUACGCCGGGGAUAACAGGCUGAUCGCAUCCAAGAGUUCACAUCGACGAUGCGGUUUGGCACCUCGAUGUCGGCUCAUCACAUCCUGGGGCUGAAGCAGGUCCCAAGGGUACGGCUGUUCGCCGUUUAAAGUGGUACGCGAGCUGGGUUUAAAACGUCGUGAGACAGUUUGGUCCCUAUCUUCUGUGGGCGUAGGAGAAUUGAAAGGGCCUGUCCCUAGUACGAGAGGACCGGGAUGGACACACCACUGGUGGACCUGUUGUCGUGCCAACGGCACAGCAGGGUAGCUAUGUGUGGAAGGGAUAACCGCUGAAAGCAUCUAAGCGGGAAGCCUGCCUUAAGAUAAGUUCUCCCUGACGCAAGUCCUGAAGGGCCGAGGUAGACGACCUCGUUGAUAGGCUGGAGGUGGAAGCCCUGUGAGGGGUGGAGCUGACCAGUACUAAUAGCCCGUGCGUCUUGUUUCU